ensembl:lncRNA
UGGGCUGCACUUACACAUAAAAGGUAAAGAACAUAAACUUGACGAAUGGCACACAUGCUUGGCUAUCUCCGCCCCUGCCUUUUAGGCAUAUUGGUAGUAUAAAUAAUACUUGUGUGACUGCUGAUCUUUAGACAUUGUGGGGCGGCACUCUGUCUCAAGAAGCUUCUGUAAUAAACGGAAUAUACGGUAUUGGAAUUGACCUGACUCCUGGUGUGUUAUUCUCCUUUCCAUCAAACCAACUCGGGGAACUGUUAGACUUCAACAAUUUUGGGGGCUCGUCCGGGAUGGAAUAAAGGAGAAAUAAUUUGACCCGGUCCAGACAACUUACACGAGAUUCACAGGUUCCUGAGCCGGCUCAAGAUAAAGGUGUCUCUUGUGGCAGGCUCUGAUGUCCAAGUCCCUAUAAGAAAGCUUAAAUGUCUGCGGACUGCAAAUCCAUCAGUCUACAUCGGGGACCUUGCCGUGCUUGUCUAUGGCAGGGAAACACUGUCCCAUUCAAGUUUGACAGGGAGACAAUCAGGGGCACACAAAGACGUGGAAUCAAAGCCACAACUUGAUAAUACAAAACUAGACGCUACAAUUGGCCAUGCUCUGUCAAAGUUCCCUGACAUCAGCAUUCAAGAUGUGAGACAUAUCAUAAGAAAAACAUGCAACAAUGAAAGCUACAAAAACAAACCACUGAAAAGAAGAUAUGAAAAUAAUUUUUGUUUCCAUUUAGUUGAUCAUUUUUGGGUUGGAUUUGUGGUUCCUCUGCAUCAUGAUGGCCAUUUAACAGGGAAGAAAUUGUACAGAAGUACAACAGUUGUAGCCAGCCAGUGACUGAUUUCAGAGAGGCUCUUGCAUGACAUAUUCUAAUAUUAACCUACCCUAAAGACUGUUUAUGCUGUGUGUUUAUUGUGUUUUGAACUGGGAUGUCGAUUUCAGUUUUCAUUGUUAUGUUUUGGCGUACAAUACAAUAUUUGUUAGAAAAUUCUGAUUUAUGUGAAUUUUUAUGUGUAUUGUCCACUGGUAGUGGUACAAGUGAAUUAACUUCAAGUCCACUUCAAGUACAGUUAAAGGUAUAUUUCAAG